UCAGAUAGACAUCAGUUUUCAGAGGAAAAUACUCUUAAAUGUUCUUGCCUUUCUCAUGGCUUGCUAAACACUUGUUUUCCACAAAAUAAGGCAACACUUGUCGAAAAUGAAAGCAUCUAGUAAGUAUGACUUGAGAGCAUUUAGAUGAUUUAGCAUAAAGACGAGGAGGAGAGCCACCAUGGGAAACUGCAAGGAGCAGUCACAGAUAACCCCCUGCAGUUUAACUUUUUCCUCUUCUUAUUGUGAAAUGUUCAUGGUUAACCCCCAUUUGCUACUCUUUCUUCCCUUUCUAUUUAUUGUUAAUUAUAGUUGUCUAUGUUGAAAGACAAGUUUGCAUCUCAUCUUUAUGUUUUCAAUUUCAUGUGACAUGAAAU
rnacentral:lncRNA from 1 species